GACGAACGCUGGCGGCGUGCCUAAUACAUGCAAGUCGAGCGCAGGAAACUGACGGAACUCUUCGGAGGGAAGGCAGUGGAAUGAGCGGCGGACGGGUAAGUAACACGUAAGGAACCUGCCUCAAGGAUUGGGAUAACUCCGAGAAAUCGGAGCUAAUGCCGGAUAGUUCAACGGACCGCAUGGUCCGUUGACGAAAGGCGCUCCGGCGUCACCUUGAGAUGGCCUUGCGGUGCAUUAGAUAGUUGGUGGGGUAACGGCCCACCAAGGCGACGAUGCAUAGCCGACCUGAGAGGGUGAUCGGCCACACUGGGACUGAGACACGGCCCAGACUCCUACGGGAGGCAGCAGUAGGGAAUCUUCCACAAUGGACGAAAGUCUGAUGGAGCAACGCCGCGUGAGUGAUGAAGGUUUUCGGAUCGUAAAACUCUGUUGUAAGGGAAGAACACGUACGAGAGGGAAUGCUCGUACCUUGACGGUACCUUACGAGAAAGCCACGGCUAACUACGUGCCAGCAGCCGCAGUAACAC
rnacentral:rRNA from 1 species